rnacentral:lncRNA from 1 species
AGCUUUUAAAAAUAUUCAGCCCUCAUCGUUUCGAAGCGUCAUUGGAUUAAUGGAUAUCAAGCCUGUUGACUGGGAGGAGAUUGGUGGCCUUGAAGAUGUAAAACUGAAGUUAAAACAGAGCAUUGAGUGGCCUCUGAAAUUCCCUUGGGAAUUUGUUAGAAUGGGCCUGACACAACCAAAGGGAGUUCUCCUCUAUGGGCCCCCUGGAUGUGCUAAAACCACUCUGGUGAGGGCCCUGGCCACAAGCUGUCACUGCUCUUUCGUUUCAGUGAGUGGAGCUGAUCUGUUUUCACCGUUUGUUGGAGAUUCAGAAAAAGUGUUGUCUCAGAUAUUUCGACAAGCAAGAGCAAGCACUCCAGCAAUUUUGUUUUUGGAUGAAAUUGAUUCAAUCUUGGGAGCUCGCUCAGCCAGCAAGACAGGAUGUGAUGUUCAAGAACGAGUUCUUUCUGUUCUCCUGAAUGAAUUAGAUGGUGUUGGACUUAAGACAAUAGAGAGAAGAGGAAGUAAAUCAAGUCAACAGGAGUUUCAAGAAGUUUUUAACCGAAGUGUCAUGAUUAUUGCAGCAACAAAUAGACCUGAUGUGUUAGAUACUGCUUUGUUACGACCUGGAAGAUUAGAUAAGAUCAUCUAUAUCCCACCUCCAGAUCACAAGGGCAGGCUUUCUAUUUUAAAAGUCUGUACAAAAACCAUGCCAAUAGGGCCUGAUGUCUCCUUAGAAAACCUCGCAGCAGAAACCUGUUUUUUUUCUGGAGCUGAUCUUAGAAACCUCUGCACAGAAGCUGCUUUGCUGGCUCUGCAAGAAAAUGGACUAGACGCAACUACAGUGAAACAAGAGCACUUUCUAAAAUCACUUAAGACUGUAAAACCGUCGUUAAGUUGCAAGGACUUGGCUUUAUAUGAAAACUUAUUUAAGAAAGAAGGAUUUUCUAACGUGGAAGGUAUUUAAAAAUCACCUUAAACUCUUGUUCAGUUCACAUUAAUUGAAAUGUGAACUUGCCUGUCGUUUGCAACUUCACACUUUUAGAAUUUGUGUUUAUAUUUCCUGUAAGUGAAUAAAU